UACAGAGGUCCCAAGCGUUGUUCGGAUUCAUUGGGCGUAAAGGGUGCGUAGGCUGUGUCAUAAGUCGGAUGUGAAAUCCCGGGGCUCAACCCUGGAACUGCAUUCGAUACUGUGGUACCAGAGGACUCUAGAGGAAAUUGGAAUUCACGGUGUAGCAGUGAAAUGCGUAGAUAUCGUGAGGAAGACCAGUGGCGAAGGCGGAUUUCUGGAGAGUUCCUGACGCUGAGGCACGAAGGCCAGGGGAGCAAACAGG
rnacentral:rRNA from 1 species